rnacentral:rRNA from 1 species
UACGAAGGGGGGCUAGCGUUGCUCGGAAUGACUGGGCGUAAAGGGCGCGUAGGCGGUUUGUACAGUCAGACGUGAAAUUCCUGGGCUCAACCUGGGGGCUGCGUUUGAUACGUGCGGACUUGAGUUCGGAAGAGGGUCGUGGAAUUCCCAGUGUAGAGGUGAAAUUCGUAGAUAUUGGGAAGAACACCGGUGGCGAAGGCGGCGACCUGGUCCGAUACUGACGCUGAGGCGCGAAAGCGUGGGGAGCAAACAGG